CCUACGGGGGGCAGCAGUGAGGAAUAUUGGUCAAUGGGCGAGAGUCUGAACCAGCCAAGUAGCGUGAAGGAUGACUGCCCUAUGGGUUGUAAACUUCUUUUAUAUGGGAAUAAAACGUUCCACGUGUGGGAUUUUGUAUGUACCAUAUGAAUAAGGAUCGGCUAACUCCGUGCCAGCAGCCGCGGUAAUACGGAGGAUCCGAGCGUUAUCCGGAUUUAUUGGGUUUAAAGGGAGCGUAGGUGGAUUGUUAAGUCAGUUGUGAAAGUUUGCGGCUCAACCGUAAAAUUGCAGUUGAAACUGGCAGUCUUGAGUACAGUAGAGGUGGGCGGAAUUCGUGGUGUAGCGGUGAAAUGCUUAGAUAUCACGAAGAACUCCGAUUGCGAAGGCAGUUCACUGGACUGCAACUGACACUGAGGCUCGAAAGUGUGGGUAUCAAACAGGAUUAGAUACCCUAGUAGUC
rnacentral:rRNA from 1 species